CCUACGGGUGGCAGCAGUAGGGAAUAUUGCUCAAUGGGGGAAACCCUGAAGCAGCAACGCCGCGUGGGGGAUGAAGGUCUUCGGAUCGUAAACCUCUGUCAGCAGGGAAGAACGGUCACUGUGCUAAUCAGCAGUGAAUUGACGGUACCUGCAAAGGAAGCACCGGCUAACUCCGUGCCAGCAGCCGCGGUAAUACGGAGGGUGCGAGCGUUAAUCGGAAUUACUGGGCGUAAAGCGCUCGUAGGCGGUAUGUCAAGUCAAGGGUGAAAUCCCCGCGCUCAACGUGGGAACUGCCUUUGAAAAUGGCAAACUGGAGUGUGUGAGAGGAUAGUGGAAGUCCAGGUGUAGGAGUGAAAUCCGUAGAUAUCUGGAGGAACAUCAGUGGCGAAGGCGACUAUCUGGCACAUAACUGACGCUGAGGAGCGAAAGCGUGGGUAGCAAACAGGAGUAGAUACCCCUGUAGUC
rnacentral:rRNA from 1 species